rnacentral:lncRNA from 1 species
UCCAGGCAGAACUGGACAAGCAGGACCAGAGACUGAAGUGAAAUUGUUGAUGGCUGAGUACUUGGCUUCAGCAUCCUAGGUAUCCUAGACAGGAACAAGAAGGGACAAGGCCAUCGAGGUCCCCGCUGCAACUAUGACACCUGGCAGCUACCUGGGGACUCUCACAUCAGGAAUUAAGAUAACUUGUGCUAUGAUCCAGUGCUUGGAAAAUCUAAGUUAACUCCCAUAUCCCAACUGAACACAAAGGCAGCAUUUUAAAUGCAUGCAGUCCGGAUAGCAGGACCACGAAGAGCCAUGCUCACGCCUGGGCGAGCCGGAGGAUAUGCAGCCAUUGCCUGUGUACUUUCUCAUCAAUUUAAUAAGCACAUCUCUGAUCAUGCGCAUUGCAGAGCACAAAGAAGUUUGGGAAAACAGAAAAUUAAAAAGGAGGUGUAUUAAAACACACAACUUAAUUUUAAUUUAUUUUUGAGACAGAGUCCAUAUAUCCAUUCCUGGUUUAUCUGGAACUUACUCUGUCAACUAGGCUGGCCUUGAGCUCACAGAGAUCUACCUGUCUCUGCCUCCCAAAUGCUGAGAUGAAAGGCAUGGUGACCUGUAUGUGUGUGUAUGUGUAUGUAUGUUUGUAUAUGUGUGUGCAUAUGUGUAUAUAUGUGUAUAUGUAUGUGUGUAUGUGUACAUAUGUGUAUAUAUAUGUGUUUGUGUGUAUAUGUAUGUACAUAUGUAUGUGCAUAUGCAUAUGUGUGUAUGUGUGUGUAUGUGUGCUGGGAGUAGGGGUGCUGUGUGCCCUGCUUAGAGGACAGUUUAUUCUCUUCUACUGUAUGGGCCUCAGGUUGCCAAGUCUGUUGGAAGGCCUCUCUCCCCCACAAUUCAUUGAUUUUUUUUUUUUAAAUUCAGUCUUAAGGUGUGCUUCAAAGGUUUACAGCACAGUUAUUUGAAAAUAUGCUCAAAACUUCAUUCUGAAGAAGACUACAAAUUAAAAAUAUACAAAGCAGGGUUUGUGGGUGGCUCAGCAGCUAAGGGUGCUUGUGCCUAGACGAUGCUUGGCAGCCUAAGUUCAGUCUCCCAGUCCACCUGAAAGUGGGGUGGGAGAACUGACUCUGUAAUGUCGACCUCUGACCUCGACAUGAUCCGAGGGCUCAUCACACACUUGUACACAGAUAGCUGUUGUACACUCAUGAAUAUACACACACACACAUACAUACACACACAUACAAAUACACACACAUACACAUACACACACAGACACACACAUACAUACACACACAUACACAUAUGCACACACACAUACACAUACAUACACACACAUACACACACAUACACAUAACACACAUACACAUACAUACACACACAUACAAAUACACACAUACACACACAGACACACACACAUACACAUACAUACACACAUACACACAUACAUACACAUACAAAUACACACACACACAUACACACACACACACACACACACCAAUAGUAAAUUAGAAACGUAUAGAAGUUUACUCAUCUAGAUAGGGGCAUUCUUCACUUUGCCUCAGGUGCUGCAUAGUGCUGUGAUUAGUCUGGCUUUAAAUUUUAUUUUACAUUUUCUCUUUUGUAUGUGUGUGUUCACAUGUGUGGGUAUGGGUGUAUAUUUGCAGGUGCAUCGGACAACCUCAUGUCAGGUUUGUUAGGUGCUUGCUUUUGUUUACGACGGGGUUUCUCAUUGGCCCAGAGCCCUGCCACACACACUACACUACCUGAUCCCGAAGCUUCCACGCACCCACCUGCCUCUCCCUCCCACCUCCCCAUCACUGGGGUGACAGGCAUGCAAAAACCAAGCCUGGCUUUUGACCUGAGUUCUGGG